rnacentral:miRNA from 1 species
CCUCGCCCGCCUGCUGUACCAGGCGUUGGUUCCUUCUUCCUGCCUGUUUUCUGUCCAAAUCCUUUUCUGAUUUGGACAGAAAACACGCAGGUGGCACACAGCAAGCGCUUA